UACGUAGGGGGCAAGCGUUGUCCGGAUUUAUUGGGCGUAAAGAGCGCGUAGGCGGCUUGGCAAGUCCGCUGUGAAAACUUGAGGCUUAACCUCGAGACGUCGGUGGAAACUGCCUAGCUAGAGUCCGGAAGAGGAGAGUGGAAUUCCUGGUGUAGCGGUGAAAUGCGCAGAUAUCAGGAAGAACACCCGUGGCUAAGGCGGCUCUCUAGUACGGUACUGACGCUGAGACGCGAAAGCGUGGGGAGCGAACAGG
rnacentral:rRNA from 1 species